CACAAUAUUUGAUCAUUUUGGGACUGUUGGACAGGUGUACACCACUGCCCAAACAGUGAAAAAUAACCCCACGAAGCUGAAAUUUUGCAUCGGAUGUAUAUUUAUAUCUU